rnacentral:rRNA from 1 species
AUUGAACGCUGGCGGCAGGCCUAACACAUGCAAGUCGAGCGGAUGAAGGGAGCUUGCUCCUGGAUUCAGCGGCGGACGGGUGAGUAAUGCCUAGGAAUCUGCCUGGUAGUGGGGGAUAACGUCCGGAAACGGGCGCUAAUACCGCAUACGUCCUGAGGGAGAAAGUGGGGGAUCUUCGGACCUCACGCUAUCAGAUGAGCCUAGGUCGGAUUAGCUAGUUGGUGGGGUAAAGGCCUACCAAGGCGACGAUCCGUAACUGGUCUGAGAGGAUCAUCAGUCACACUGGAACUGAGACACGGUCCAGACUCCUACGGGAGGCAGCAGUGGGGAAUAUUGGACAAUGGGCGAAAGCCUGAUCCAGUCAUGCCGCGUGUGUGAAGAAGGUCUUCGGAUUGUAAAGCACUUUAAGUUGGGAGGAAGGGCAGUAAGUUAAUACCUUGCUGUUUUGACGUUACCAACAGAAUAAGCACCGGCUAACUUCGUG